GUCCUUUAACUCAGAACUUUGUAGAAAUUCAAAAGAUUUUGUUGAAAAGGACACUUAAAAAUGAAAGCUGUAUACAUUCACCAUAAAGAUAUGUGUAUAAAACAAAAUCCAGAAGUUUCAGUGGUCUUUUUUUUUUUUUUUUUUUGAGAUGGAGUCUCACUCNNNNNNNNNNUUUUUUUUUGAGAUGGAGUCUCACUCCUGUCGUGCAGGCUGGAGUGCAGUGGCGCAAUUUCGGCUCACUCAGCUCAGGAGGUUCGUGCUGCUUGGCAUUCUACUAGAAAGUCUACCUUGUUGGCUCCUCACUUAAGUGCAGAUUCUCUAUUAGAUCUGGAUGCUAGUAAUAGGAUCAUUUUCUAGGGACUCCUAGUUAUAUACAACAAGAAGUUUCUGCUUCGGAUUUCUCUGUUGGGCAGGGUGGUGGGAGGGAUGGGGUCUCGAGUUUUUCCCAAGUGAAAUCCUGGUAAUCGUGCCUGAGAGAAUCCUUAUGAAAGUUUCACUUACAAUGAAA
rnacentral:lncRNA from 1 species